GUGGGGUCCACGCGAGCCUGGUGGGUCCCCCAGCAUGAAGCUGACCUGCCACCUCUCCUGGAGUCCUGCCACAUGCACCUCAUUCCCCGGCAGAGCUGGGACAAGGCUUGGCUGUGGUGCCCACCCUCCUCGGCGCAGCUUCCCCAUGGUGUCCCCGUCACAGACCUUCUGCUCUUGGGUGGAGAAACGCAAUAGAACACGGCUUCUUCAGCCUUAUCCCCUUCCCUACACCUCUUCCAAAUGUUUGGAUGUUGAGAAAGGUUUUCUCCAAGCAUUCGAACGCUUUCUGUAAGGGAAUCAUUUCAAGAAAGUGGGGUAAUUAAGCCUGCUCAGGGCUGUUAUUUCUCAUGACCUUUUUCCUUUCAGGAAGGCCAGGUUGGAGGAGGUCGUUGGCAGCAGCUGGGACUGUCCAAGCGGUGAUUUUCCAGAGUUCAGAUAUCUCUUCACCUCGCCUCUGUCCUGGGCUUGGCUGAAGCGCCUUGCGAGCCUCCCAUCGUGGAGUGGCGUCUCUAUUUUCAGCCCCGGCUGCCCUAAUCCGAUCAUACGCCUCCGCCUGUGCCCGGCCGGCUCCUGCCCAAAGCCCACGAGUGCUUCAUGUUAUGGACUUCUUUGAUAGGAUCCCGUGGCUCCUCCAAGUGCUGUGGCUGCAACAUGAGGGGACUUCUCCUCCCGGUCCUCCCAGGAGCUGAUCCUGAGCAUCCCAACACCUUUCCCUACUUCUACAGAAGCCAAAUCCACAACAAACCCUGGGAAGGGUGGUGGAGAGAAGACUAGACCCCAAAAUAGCUGCAUAACGUGUCCGGCUCAUGUGUGGAUCUCUUCAUCCUUCCUGAUGGACCUGCCUGGUGCAUUGACCAUUGGGCAGAAACUCCUGGAAAACCCGGCUGCGAGCACGGCUAUGCUGGAGGAGACCCUGGAUAAUGCCAGUAAUCCCGGCUUUCGAAGGUUUAGGCGAGUGACAACUGCUGUGGGAUGAGCCUGCCUUCCUCCCACCCACGCGACGGCUGAGGAGCUCAGCGCCUUCUGUGCUGUGAACUGGGAAGAGGAGCGGCUCCCCGCCUGCCCACGAACACCAGCCCUGGCACCCAAACACCCCGCAGCACCCUCACCUGCCAGAGGGUCUCCCCUUGGCAUCUGCUGAAACCCAUCGACUGCCCUGGUGGAGAUGGACCCCUUCCAUCCCAGCCCAUCGUGGUGGCUCCUGGGUUCCAGCUGCUGGCACAUCCCAGUUAGCAGUGUCCUGUCACCUCUCCUGGAGGCAGAAGCUGGCUCUUCCCGGCUGCCGGUGGGUUUUACGCUUACCUGGGGCCACAUGGAGCUGCUGGAGCCACCAGCGAACAACUGCACUGAUGGGAAAGAGCAGAGAGCCCCAGAAACCGGGUGCAUCCCAGUUUCUCCAGGGGUCACUGCCUUGCAAGGGGGGAAUUUCCUCUACUCCAUCCAAAGCAAUGCCAACCCUAUCGCUCCGGCAGCGAGAGAGGCACUGGUGGAGCCAGAUUUGAAACCUCGUUCUCUCCCGUGGUCCUACGAAAGCCUUGAAUGACUCUUUUAUUCUCCCCAUGCCAAGGAGCAAAGAAAGAGAUGCUCGCAGAUAAGAAACUGGAAGGAUGGCCGAGAGAUGGGGUUUGGUUUUGGCACUGGAUAAACCACGUUCAUUCAGCCAGGAGCCAGCUGGAAAACAAUGCUUGUCCCUGCAGUUUCUCCUGGCUCACCUGUGCAGCUCGCGAUGGCCUCGGGGUGGAUGGGUUGAGGUUGGACAUAAGGCAGCCUGCCUGGAUCAAACAAAUCAUCAACUAAAUAACUACCGGAUAAUUAUGGCUAUUAGCAAUGUCUCCAAUUCCCUGGGCAUUAAUGGGAGGCGGAGGGUACCCAGCCCCUCCCAGGGGUACGUCACCAGUGACGUACGAUGGUGGUGAGGAUGUGCUAACUCACGUUGCUCUGCACCCUCCAUCGCGAGCUGGAACAGCAGCAUUCAGCCCCAGACGAGCAAGUUGGGUUCCAAGGCUGCCUUCUUUGGGAGCACACAUUACAAACCUCCUGAGCUUCGUGGUAGGAGCCAGCCCAAACCCACAGAGGACACACAUGCUCCGCAGUCCCUCAUAGGGUGGUUGGCACCAUUGGGAAAGGCUUCAUCACUCCUGCACUCCCACCAUCCACAAUUAGGGGUUUCUCAGCCUUCCCAGGACAGUGGCGCUGCUGUGAUGUUGAUUAAAACACCCUCAGGCGGACGAAGAUUCCUUCAGGGACUGAUUCCUCCCGAGUCCUGAUUGCGGCAACAGGGAGAAAACCCCUCUGUGAAGGGGUGAAAGGGGGUUUCACUGUGGAUAUUCAGUCUUUGCAGGGACCAUCUUCGGCUGCAGGGGAGGAGGAGCAGGGGAAGAAACUGGCUGAACUUGUUACACUGGUGAUAGAUGAAAAGGCUGGUUAGUAAGAGCACGUUAACAUUAUGUCCAGUCUUUAAGGAAUGCAUCCAGGAUCCAUUAGGGGAACAGUAGUUAGGUGAAUCACGCUGUGGACAUGCGGAUUUAACCGGGAUUUCAAGCCCAAGCGACCUGUAAUUGCAUAUUAGUAGAGGGAUGCUUAGAGUAAUCAGCUGUUCCAGCCACGCCAGCCCGGUGGCCACGGGGGGAAGGGAGGAGGGCUGGAGGGGUGUCCUGCAUCCCAGCCCCUCCUGGGAUUAAAAGGCAAAAAUAUAGGCCACGCAAACACCGCAGGGAACGUGCUGCUUGGUGGCUUUUCCUUUGAAGGCACUGCUCUUGCUGAAAGUGGGGGUUGAGAGCAGCAAGAUAAGCAGGGUAAAUAUGCUGUGGUGGCAGGAGGGGGCAAUGAUCAACCACCUCGGAGCUGUUGGCUGAGCCCAGAAUAGCUGGUCUUGUGCAGAGGGACUCCAAAGAGGGAUGUCCCCAUCCAUCAGCGAAGAGGAGGAGAGGUGGGAACAGCCCUUUCAUACUCUGACACCCUGGAAAAACUAUGUGAGCUCUUAGGAGUGCAAAUGCAUGUUCUCACUUGUACGAGGAGGGAGAUAACAUAUUACACACCACCCUGCGCCUCCCCUGGCACUGCUCCAGCCUAAUCCCUGUCUCCAAACCAUGGUCCCACCUACAAGUCAUCUUCUGUCCUAGAAAUGCCAUUAUUUCCCCCUCCCCGGCAUCGCUGAAGGGAUGUUCAGCGGAUUGGGGUAUGGGGGUGCGAGGAAACCCCAGCCCGUCUCAUAUUGUGCAACAGCUCAAGGCUGUAGGGUGACAUUUUUACCUCCUUUCCUAAGAAAACAUGACUUCACGACCGCUGUCAGUCAUUCUCCUUAAUAACUUGGGGUGCCAGCAGAUGAUUUCAAUCAAAUUUGUCAGAGCCAUCAAGUUUCUACAAGCUGAAAUGGGUGGCCAGGCACAGGGAGCCGCCCAGCCGAGGGAGCAGCACAGCGACCGCAGCUCCCAGCCCCAGCAGCAGCCACUUGGCCCGUGUGCAGCUCUCAUCAGCUACAACUGACGCCGUGGCUCGCUCCUCCAAAGCAGGAGCUGCUAGAAGAGAAGGAGCAGGGAAGAGCAGGCACCUGGUGAGCCACUGUUGGCUUUUGCAGAAGGAAAUAAAAGUUUUCAGGGAGCUGGACUGCUGUCCCAGUGGCAUCAGCGAUCUCUUCUUGAAGGAAACACUCGGGCUUCUGAUUCAAGGUUGCAUGCAAGAAGUCAGAGGUGGGGGAAUGUGGCUGAUUCAGGGGGCUGAUGGAACUUCCCGCUGCAUCUCCUUGCCGUCAGCUGAAAGCACUGCAGCAAAUUGCAUUUGGAGCUGAACCGUGCGAAUGCCACAAGCACAGGGACAAAAAGAAAGCAUUUUAAAUGCACCUCCGCAGCAGCUCUAACACGAGCUGAAAUCCUAUUUGUCAUAUGCAACCCUCAACCUCCAGCAGGCAGCAGCUGGAGCCAGAAGAUAGGAGGGUUUGAUGACAGCACAACCUGCACGCUGCACAGUUCUCGCUCUCAGCCCUCACUCCUCUAAGGCUCAGCUGCUCCCCAGGCUCAGGACCAUGGCAAAAAGGACUGAGUUUGUGCCAUCCUCCAGCAGCUCAGCUCCAUCCCCACACCACCGGGAGCAAACUGCCCUCCCGGUAUGUACGUAUCAAUGAAGCAUUUGUCUCGUGUUUGGCACCAGGCACCAGAGCACAAGGGUCCGUGUGCUGCAUCGCCUAAACACAGCUAUAAAUGGAAAGAGGAGCCGCACAGACAGACUGUUCUCUCAUUCUGCAUCAGCUCAAAUAGCAGAGUUAACACCCGCGCUGCCCGAGCAGCUACCGAGGAGGAUGGCAGCCGAGAAGAAAUGUCUGCGUACUACAAGAGAGAAGCUAAUUAGAGAGAUUGAGAUGCAAUUUGAAUGCCACGCUGGGUCUAGCUAUCCGCCUGCACAGAAACGGUGCCACCCUCGGCAUUGAGCUGGCAGAUUAAGGACAGCUAAAAGCAGGAAGGUUGGAGCAAGAUGCUUCUUGCAUUCUGGAGAUUCAAGACAAAUUCCUCCCGUUUCAGUGAUUUUGGAGCUCUGCCAGAUGUCACUCUAGGAGAAAAGCUGCUGAGGGCAAGUCUGCAGAUGCAAACCCUGCAGCGCAAGCCCUGGAAACAACCUUCACUGAUACAGCACUGAGUAUUUUUGGAUGUGGCUCAAGGCAGAGAUGCUGCAGGGCAGGUGCUGUACUGCCCUGCUCACACAGCAGGGUGGGCUUCUCCGCUCCUCACCGCAAUCAUCCCACCCGUAUAACCCAGCGCAGCCUGCCACGGGCAUAACACCCAUGGUCUAAAUAUAGGGAAUUGUUGGGACAGAGCCACAGACACCAACCUACAUCUUUCCUCGGAGCAAAGCC